GACGAACGCUGGCGGCGUGCUUAACACAUGCAAGUCGAACGAUGAAGCGGUGCUUGCACCGUGGAUUAGUGGCGAACGGGUGAGUAAUACGUGAGUGACCUACCUUUGACUCUGGGAUAAGCCUGGGAAACUGGGUCUAAUACCGGAUACGACCAAUCUCUGCAUGGGGUGUUGGUGGAAAGCGUUAUGGAGUGGUUUUAGAUGGGCUCACGGCCUAUCAGCUUGUUGGUGAGGUAAUGGCUUACCAAGGCGACGACGGGUAGCCGGCCUGAGAGGGUGACCGGACACACUGGGACUGAGAAACGGCCCAGACUCCUACGGGAGGCAGCAGUGGGGAAUAUUGCACAAUGGGCGCAAGCCUGAUGCAGCGACGCCGCGUGAGGGAUGACGGCCUUCGGGUUGUAAACCUCUGUUAGCAUCGAAGAAGCGAAAGUGACGGUAGGUGCAGAGAAAGCGCCGGCUAACUACGUG
rnacentral:rRNA from 1 species